rnacentral:lncRNA from 1 species
AAUUAAAAAAAAAAAAUAAGAUAAUUCUUAUACAUAUAUAUUUUAUUGUUAUCUGGAAAAUAAAAUUUUAUUAUUAUAAGAGAUUAAGACAUAUAACAAUUUCUAAUUAAAUAUUAGUCAAUCAAAAGCUGAUUUUGUUUGUGUGUCGUAUUCUCCAUGAUUUUAGGUAUUUUUGCUUAAUAUAUAAUUUAAAAGAAUUUUAUAUUAAUAAUAAUAGAUUAUAAGUUCUACUAGCUAAUUGAUUAUAAACUAAUAUGAAAAAUAUCAAAAUAAAAACAUAUAUAUUUUAAAAAUAAAUAAGAUAAUUCUUAUAUAUAUUAUUGUUAUUUGGAAAUAUUUUUUUUAUUAUAAGACAUUAAGGUAUAGAACCAUUUAUAAUUAAAUAUUAAUAUAUCUAAAAUAUUGCUAAUAUAUAAGUGCUUUAAAAAAGUUAUCAAAAUAAUAAACAUAUAUAUUUUGAUGGAAAUAUUCAUCAUAUAUAUAUAUGAUGUUUGAUUUAAACUUUUUGUUAAAUCAUUAAUAAUUAUUUAUUAUAUUUUUUUUGAAUUAAUAAGACAUAAACCAAAAAUUAUUCGUAAGAAGAUAAUGCCUGCAUGUGCGGGCAAAACACCUAGUUAUAAAUAAAGCACCAGCCUAAUCUCGAUACUAUAUAUAUAUAUAUAUUAUAUUUCAACAAAAUAUUAUAUAACAUAUUUAAUAAUUCCUCUUAUUAUACCAUACAAAGUGUUGAUUAACCUGUAUUUUUCUUUCCUUUCAUGUGGGCCAAUAGCAGAUAAAAUGUUACAUCAAUAUAAUCUAUGGAGUCAUCGUUUUGUUUGGGCUUAUAUUACAAAUAUAUUUGCAAUUAUAGAUUCAUAUAAAUAUAAUCCAUAUAGGCUAAACCAAAUAUAAAAUUACUCGAAAAGGUAAAAAUAAAAUAUACCAAUAUAAUAAAACUCUGAUUAGAAAGAAGAAAAUAUGGUUAAACUAAAAAGCAAAUAAGAUACACGAAUUUAUACAAAAGUCUUCUAGAAUGUCAAUAUAAGUAAAUAGAAAAGCUUUAGUCAAAUAAUAAACAAUACAUUUUUUUAAUAACCAUGGGAAUUCUAAAUUUUUAUAGACCCAAAUACUAAUACCACGAAAUCUAGCAUCUGGCUACGUGUGGACAAUUAAAUUCAUUUAAAACGCGGUUAAGUGGCCAAUGCUAUUCAAAUCCAAAAUACAAAUUUUAGCUGAAACCUCUUUCUCACUAGAUCAAACUGCCAAGUCUUGGUUUUUUUAUUAUUUUGUUUGAAAAUACAUCUAUUGCACUAAAAGUAAAUGAUAAAAAAAUUAAAGAUAUUGCAUGUAAAUACACAAUAAAAUGACAGAUAAAAUGAAAUUAAUAUAAAAAUAAAUAACUAAAAAUCUUUUAAAGACUCUUGAAUCAGCCAAAUAUUCAACAAAAAGAAAUCACGCUUUAAUCAACCAUAUCAUUCUUUACAAGAAUUAUAUAAGUUUUUUAAAAGCUUACAAAAAAAUAGCCUCAUCAGUACUUUCCUCCAGGUUAUUAUGUCUACCGUAAAGCAAAUUAACAACAUAAAUCGACAAGCCACAUUGACCAUUAAUUUUCACAUUCGUAAUAAACCUAUUACAUUUGCUUAUAAUAGAUUUCCACAACUUAAAUACAUCGAGUAACACUAAUAAAUAUACUACAAUAAAAUAAAAUAUAAAUACAUAUAUCAACAUGAUCAUAUUCUCAGAAGAGACAGUUUUCCUUGAGGCUAAUGAUGAGUGUCUCUAAAGCUUCAUUUCAAAGGCAUGAACACAACUCCCAGAUUCUCCACUUUCUCCAUAUUCACUUUGUGAAUGAUUCCUUCCAUUUUACCUUUUCUAUUCGUACAACAAAUACAAAUGGUAUUAAGUUUUUUGGUAUAUUCCUGAUUGAAUUUAUGGACUUGGCACGAUGAUAUAUUAGUAGGGUUGAUAUGGAUAGAAAACUCACAUAUCAGCAAUAAACAAAUCUUGAAAUAAUCCAUGAAUUGCAUAGUCUGCUUAGUGUUGUUUAUUAUCGUACUUGAGCCAUCCAUGAGGUAUCUGCCAUUAGCGUCUCCAACGCUUUGACAUGAGCGGAGGCAACAUUUUUUAAGUAACUCUAUUCAUUUACCUUUUCCUCCACCAUCCCAUAUCACAUAUGUAUUUUUAGAUAUUAAAAAGACAAAAAAAUAAAUUUUAAACCUAUCAAGUUUAAUUUAUAAUUUUGUAAAUUGACUGAAAUAUAUAUGCCUUAUAUAUAUUAAAUACAAAUAUAUUUUUCCAAACCCGGGCGUAGCCCGGGAAAAUCUCUAGUCUUAUUAAGAAGAGAACAAAAUCACAGUAACUGGAAAUAAAAAUAGAAAAUCAGUCCAGUAAAACAGUUUCAACCCAACUUAUUAAAAAAAAUUCACUUCAAUACACACCACAGAAGCUAAAUGGGCUUAGUAGUCCUGAGCUUUAGCCUUAAAAAGCCCAUAUAGCAUUCGGUUGAAAUUGAGUAAAUAAUAUUUAUUCUCGGCAAAAUCGGAACAAAUGAUAAGUUGAGGGACUAACAGGUAAAGAAUAAACACAUUUUCUUCCUAAACCGUGUGAUCUUGUUCGCAUCUGGAACAAGCGAGAAGCUCUGAUAUCCCAUAAAUUAAAAUUACAUUUUUCUCGUCUUCUUCGUCAAAAAUCCUCUUCACCGAGUCAUCUUCUCUCCGAUCAAAAAGUCAAUCAAGGUAUGUGCUUUCCAAAUCCAAUCGAAGGAUUUCAUUACAAACAUGUUCUCCCGAUUUCAUUACUUAAUUUCUGCUCUGAUUGAUUUGUUUGUCGGUUAUAACGAAUCUAGGUUUUGUACAAACGGUUUGGGUUCGAACUAUAUACAAAUCUCAGUGUGGUUGUUCUUGUAUUAUGUCUUGACUUACGAAAGUAGCAACCUUUGGUUAAGGGUUUCAUGUUUUUUUUUUUUUGAGCUUACGUCCAUGACGAACCUUUGCAUUGACUUGUGAUGAUUAGAUUGUGUUGGUAUGUGUUUAAAAAUAAUAGCUUUUAUUGUCUGUCUAGUGAUCAGGUUACACAGGAAGUAAGAUUUGAGGUUUGAGAAGCACAAGAGAACAAGAAGGAACCUAAUCAGUCUCAAUUUACUCGGCUUGAUCAAAUUGAAACUGCAGCUAAUGGCGCUUAACCCUCAGUUGAUGCCUAAUGGGAUGCCUGUUCCCUUUGUUAAUGAGAUGUUUGUUCUUGUCCGAGACGGCGUUGAGUUUGAAGUCGACAAGAUUCCUGGGUUCGUCUUUCCUUCGCUUCUGAUUUAUUUUGGGUUUGGCUUUUUAAAUAUUCUGCGCGGGGUUUCAUUUUUGCUCUGUUGUUUUUGCUGGUUUGGAUCUGACAAGUCCCAUAAUUGAACAGAACAUAUAUAGGUCUUAAACACUUUGCUGACGAUGUGUUUUGUUUGAUAUAUAGAGGACAUGGAGGUCAUGUUAAGGCCAAGGGAGUGAUAUACUUGUCUAACAUUCGGAUGGUCUUUGUUGCAAGCAAGCCUGUUGAGAACUUUGUUGCUUUCGACAUGCCUCUGGUACAGUGAAUUGACUCUCUUUUUAUUCAAUUGAUACUAUGGUACAAGUAUAUUUCUAUGAAUAGAGUUGAGGAACUUUAUGCUACUCUUAGCUCAUAGCUCUGGCAAAUAAUGGACUAUAUGUUACUCUAUUUUGUAGCUUUACAUCCACGCCGAGAAAUUCAAUCAGCCAAUCUUCCACUGCAACAAUAUAUCUGGACAAGUCGAGCCUGUGAGUAAACAAUCUUCAUUUGGGAUUUACAUUUUCCUCGUCAGAAAAUUAUCACAUAGAGUUAACUUACACAUCUCUUUGAGCAUGUAAUAAAAAUUUCAGGUGGUACCAGAGAACGAGCACAGAGCACUGUAUUCAACACACAGUUUCAAGAUCUUGUUCAAGGAAGGUGGUUGCGGGACGUUCGUUCCUCUCUUUUUGAAUCUCAUAUCAUCAGUGAGGCAGUACAACAGACAAAUGCAGCAAGCGGCAGAAACAGCAGCGGCAGCUCCACGUGUUGAUCCCCUUCAAGCCGCACAGACCCCUGUUGAUGAGAUGAUGAGACAUGCGUAAGCCCCCUCUCUAUCAUACGAAGGUUUUGAUAAAAAUAAAAGGCUGUUGUUUCUCAAAAUCUUGUGUAUUUGCAGGUACGUUGACCCUAAUGAUCCAACGAAGAUAUAUCUGCAGCAGCCAUCUGGGGAGUCUCAGUUGAGGCGGCGAGCUUACCAUUCCAGUGCAGCGGAACACUGAUGAGACAUAUACACCGAAACUACAUGAGGGUGGUGCCAUACACAUACGCAGCAACACAUUAAGUGUUGCAAAUAAGUUAAAAGCGUUGUUGGUUUGUUGAUCAAACAUAAAAAACUAAAACUACUUUGUGUAAUGAGAAAGAAAAGACUUGUUGGUUAUGCUGUAUAUGUGAAAAUUUGGAUUCUCUAUAAUAGUAAAAAGUGUUUCAAGGCUCGACUGAAAAAAAAAAUCGCUAAUUCUAUUACAAGACAACACAACAUAGCAUUCUCGUUCUGUCCCGAUGAAGUAAUUGAGAGUUUGAAAAUUAAAAAAUCAAAAUUACUUUUGUCGUGUUUAUAUAUGUAGUUUCAACUAAAAUAACAAAGAGGAGAGGGAGAGCGAAACAUACAAAGGAAUUCGAGUGAGGAUCUAAUCGUCCAUAUCUUUGACCUAACCCUAGUAUCGGGGGCUCUGUGCCGUCGGAGCACCCUUUCUGAUCGGAAUAAGACUUUAUACAGCUCAGUUGAGUCUGUUUCCUUCUGGUUAGUGAUGUUCGGUCUUUGUUCAGUUUGUUACUUUAAUCGAAUCAGAGUUUCAGUUACUCGUAGGUUAAGUUUCUGUUAUGUAUUUCUGGUAUUCGGAUUCAUCAGCGCGAUAGCCUCUAAGGGUUAGCUUCGAUUUACUUGAUAAAAUGUCAGUAAUCUUCAAGCUCUGGUUUGUGGAUUGUACAACUAGUUAGGUCUUUGUGAAAUUGCAACUGUUUAUGCGGCUGUGUUCCUAGGUUAGUAAUAAGAUGACCGAAUGAUUCUGUUGUUGUAUUGUGUCUCUGAACUGAACUCUGGUGAUGACCCUUCAGCUGUAUAGACCAGUAUUAAUUAUCAUUGGAUUGUAAUAAAGCCAAUUUAUGAUGCCUUAGCUAUUAGAAUGAAGUUCUUCAGUUUCGUCCUCUAAUGUUUUUACUUACUCUUUGGACUGUGAUUUGCAGAAAUAAAAAAAGGGUGAUGGAAACCCAGAAGAAAACUAGGGAACAUAGCCUACACCAUAUAGUUGAUGACAUCGGUGCUGCAUUUGGAAUGGGAGCUAUUGGAGGUUCUGUGGUCCACUUCAUAAAAGGAACCCAAAAUUCCCCGAAAGGCCGUCGGUUUGUUGGGGGAGCACAAGCUGUGAGCAUGAAUGCUCCUCGUAUAUGAGGUAGUUUUGCUGUGUUCGGAGGCCUUUUCUCUGCGUUUGACUACACAAUGGUGUACAUUAGGAAGAAGGAAGAUCCAUGGAACUCUAUCGUAGCAGGUGCUGCUACAGGAGGGUUUCUGUCUAUGCGACAAGGGCUUGCUGCUGCUUCGAGAUCAGCUCUUAUGGGAGGGCUCUUGCUUGCUUUGAUCAAAGGGGUCCAUUAAUGUUAAACAAGUUAGCUUAUUGGAUUGUGUUUAUUGAGCUUUCUCUGCUCAGUCUUGGAACCUAUAUACUCUUUUGUUUAAAUCAUUCUACAGUAAUUCAUGUAUUGGUGGUAUAUUAUGCCAACUGUUUAAGUAGAAAGACCAUUUUGAGAAGGGAAGGCCAAAGAAUAAGAUUGGCAAUGAGUCUGUCAAGCGUUAUAAGACAACCAAAUUCAUUUCUAUACACCAAAAACAAGUGAAGUUAAGAGGAGUACUGAGGCAGAUAUAAUAAACACAGCCCCAAAAGUAGUUUGAUCUUUGGUUUCUUCUCACUUAUUUACAUACAAAACCUUAACAAGGAUCUUCACCAAUACGACCAACAGAAACAAAACCGAGGAGUAUGUAUAGUGUCUUUGGAUCUUCACCAAUCACCAAUAGUGUCUUUGGACUUCCAUUAACUCCUUGCUGGAAGUUCGUUGAUAGUGUCCUCUGUUUCUUUUUACUCUUACAUCAUAUGCUCUUGGGAGCUUUGUUUUCUUUUUCUGCAAUGCCUUUGUGCAUUUUUCUCUGUUUUUUUUUUUGAACUUGUAAUGAGUUUUUCAUCUCAUCUACGAUAUUGAAUGAAAUCACAUCGUUAAAAGAAAUCUCCAAAAAAAAAAAAAAGGCAAAACAAAAAAUGAAUUUAGCGAAAUCUCUAGUUCCAGAACAAGAAAACACACGUAAUAAGAUUAAACUUGUUAUUAUGGUUGACCUCGAGGAACCUGGACCAAGCUGGGAAAACAAGUGCAAUGCAAAAGGCCAAGGAUCAGCCACAGAAUCUAAGUGGACUUUGCUGAUCAACUUAUUAUCCCCAUAACAUAGAUCCAAGGUUUGCCAGUUUUAUCGCAACAACACACGACAAGCCUUUCAUUGCUGACCUUGUUCAUAGUCACCCAAAUCUCAAUCUUAUUUGUUACCUUGCUUUGCUUUAACACCGAAAACCUUUCUCCCUUAAAGACCCUAAGGACUAGAACAUCGAGAGGAUGUCUCUUCCGGCAUGGGACUGCACAAAAUCUGUAGAAUAAUUCCCUCGAAAAAUCGAAGGUUUCUAGGUGAUACUUUGUCUCGUCAAAAGAAAUAAUCCAAAACAAAUUUACAUUCAUCAAAACACCACUUAGAGAAUGUGACAGUGCAAUUUGAUUUUUUUCCUUGUUAGUAUCACCGGAUUUAGACACCACGUACUUCCACGUACCUGAGGCAAGGUCGUGGAUUUUCCACUUGGUAUAAUUACACCAAAUUGUCUUGUACACUCUUUUCUCACAUUUACUAUUCGUAUGAGGAUAACCUAUGCCAUGGAAUUUAAAUCUAGUUUCGUUAAUCCAUGUUAUUUGUUUCAACCACGGGUUACAAACUGCGGUUCCAGUAUCCGUGCUACAUAUCAACAACUCGUCGCAAUUAACCAACUUCGUAGGUUUUGAGAUUCCAAACCGAAAAUAUCCAAUGAUAACUCACGCACCACUAUCUUGGGAUCAAUGCUUACCGAAUAAUCUUUGAUUUAGUUGUUAGGAUGAAUCGAAACGUGUCCUUAUGGUUGUAUACGAACGUCUUGUCGUCCAAUAUAGCUUUCCAUCGUUUGCAAACAACUGUGAAGCGCACAAGAGAUUUUGGAGACGCGCGAGAUAAUAUCUCUUCAAUCAAAUUCCAUGGAAGUUUCUCCUCUCGCGGUGCUAUAUCUAACUUUUGUUUUUUUGUCUUUGAUUCCAUUGUCAUUUUUAACUAGUUAGGGUUUGCUCAUAAAAAUAUAUAUAUAUAUAUAUAUAUUUAAGAUGUGUUCAAAAAAAAAAAAUAUGAUUGUAUAAGAUCAAUUUUCCUUCUUAUAUAUAUACCGCCAUUAAAUAAUAUCAUUUUAAAAGAAAUUUUCUUGUUUAUAUUUGACAUUAUUAUAUUUAUAUUUUAAUUUUUCCGGUUUGGACAAAAGUAAAAUCUUAUAUGUUUUGUAACCUGUUUCUUUUGAUUUAGUUAAUUUUACUAAAAUUCAAAAAAGUUAAAACUACAUUUUUCCCUUUGAUCAGGCCACAUUGUAAACACGUUGUAAACUAUAUAUGGUAACACUGACGACUCUCUUUUUUUCCAACAUUCCACGUCUUUGGCCAUUGGACUGCUUGAUGCUGUUCUUGACCUCUUUCUUUCUCCUUGACCAACGAGACCAAUUCUUUUUUUCCCCAAACAGGAUCAUCAGAUAACAAGUUUUGUUGCCCCUCUAAUUAUAUCCAUCAAAUAAACUUGUUGCCCCUUGACAAUCACAGUUCCUUCUCUUUUGUAUCCCUAAUUCUAUUCACCUAAGAGUAGUAAUAGAAUUACAAGAGAAACAAAAUAAAAACAAACUGGGGCUGGCCUGUUUUAAUUUGUGCUCCGAAAUAUUACCUGACAAGACUUGGUCACGACUGCCAAAACAGCUGAUAAUCCUUACUAUACAACGAGCGGUCUUGUAUCUCCAGGUUUGCUACAUGCCGGUUUAUGAGCUGCGACUGCAUUAUCUUACACACGACCAGUCCCACUGGAAAUAUCCACCACUCACUUUCACCCCUGCAUCCCCCCAAAACACAUCAUAAACCCCAAUAGACCAAAACGUAAGAUUGACAAAAGUAUUCCUUUGUAGUGAUACUCACAUGUUUAUAUUCCACGGCUGAAAUGGGAUUUUCUUGCUUGCUGAUGAUUCGCUGUUAUAAUGAACAUAUCCGCAGAGGAAAGCAACAAACUGUCACAGAACCAAAAAACUUGUCAAAUAACGUUAAGACAUGUAACAUCUUCUAAAGAAUCAACACCUACUGAUAUAACUGUUAAAAUCCAUCCUCAUGUGACAGAAGUUCACAUUUGCAUUUGUAAUCGAAACAAGUUAUCAACAACAAAAGAACAAGAACAAAAAGAUCUUACCACAUUAACCAAGGACAUGAUAUUCCACAAAGCGUAAACACGUGCUAAGCCAGCAGAGCGUCUGGGUCCAUGACUGAAUAAGGCAUUGAUCCCAGCGGGGAAUGGCAAAAGCAAGCCGAGAGGUAAUAUAGACAAAGCCAAAAGUACAUCCACCAACGAAAUCGAAUACAGCUGGAGCAGGGUGAGCAAGACUAGACUAAAAUCUCCUAGAAGUAUCAUCGAUAUAACUAAGCCAACCAUAUCCUGUAAUAUCACAAAAAUAUAACAUAGGGAAGAGAAAUUAAAAUUAUUGAAAAGUUGGACGGCACAACAUAUAAUAAGACAUUCAUAUUAUAAGGAUUUUGAUUGGAGAGGUACCUGGUGACCCACAGGUUUCGUGUUGUGAACUAAGAAAGAGAGAAGGAAAAACAUAUCUCUCUUCUCUUUCAGACUCGGUAAGCUGUCAAGGUCGAUUAUUCCUCCGUAGUUCUUUCUUCGCGUUGUAUUAUCCUCAGCGUUUGUGUGGUUUUGAUUGUAGAGCAUAGUCUCUCUUAAAUGUGCCGGAGAAUUCUCUUUAUGUACAGUCACACCGAAACUAAAGAUUACAAGAAUAAGACAUCAAAACCCCGCAUAACUAAAGAUAAGUGUAUAACGGAAACAUGCUUAGGUGUGUGACAUAAGCAAAAAACAACCUUAAACUUCUAAAGUGAUCAUCUUAUGUAUCUAGAAUGCUCAAGUUCAUAUUUUAUAUUCAACUCAAGACAAUACAGCGCAUUCAGAAGAAAUAAUGGUAUCAUGACUGUUGUCACUAAAAUUGACCGUAUGAAAGGAUGCAAUUUCUCAUUUAUUUACCGUGGCUGGAUCUCAGUCCAUGAUGUUUCACUGACAGACUGAGGUGAUGUUGGUUCACAAUCCUCGUCAGCAUGAAUCAAGAGACCGUAUUGGUAGUAACCACAAGCUGUGGUCUGGAACCAGGCUAGAUCAACCCGUAUGCCAUGUGUUUCCAGAGCAGGAUUGGCAUGAGUUUCUAACCAUCUCAGAACAGAAUGAAACGUUGAUCUCAGACGCCCACGGCGAACAAGGCGCAAUUGAGCAUUCACACCAGCCACCAGUCUGUACCAAGUAGUGGGAGGAACGAGCUGGGAAAAUUAAACAAUGACAAAGAUCAGUACAACCUAUAACAUGGCAGCUAAAACUGCUUCUCGUUAACACUAAGGAACCAACCUCACUCAUCAGGCUAGUAAGAAUGUUGUCAUUUUGAAGUGAGAAAGGAGCCAUGUAACUGCCAUCACCACCAAACAAUAUGGGCAUUGGAAACCUUUGGUGAAUACCAGGUGGAAGGUCUGUCCUUUUCUCAUCCCCGCCAAGGAAGAAAUCCAGAUAUGCAAGCAUCAAAUCAGGGGUGGCAGCGACCUAAAUUUAGAAGAAAAAAAUAUGAAUAGCAAAGUAAGACAACAAAUCCUUGUAAAACGAAUCAGAGAUUCUGAAAAAUCUGUAGUCCUGUUAAGCAGUUAUGAGAUCAAAUAAAUCCCACAGGAAUUACCUUCAGACCCUCGUAUAAAGCGCGGGAGCGACAGGAGCGCAGACAGGAAUGAUCAUAUUCUGAACGUACAAACUCACGCAAUUUUUGCAACUUCAACUUCCGCCGCCAUUGCUGCCAUGACCACGCAAGCGGAUAUGCAACCACCGAAAGAAUACUAUAUAUUGCACCUUCCCACCAUUGAUAUGCAGCUAUAGAGUUGAUUUCGUCGACAAACGUGUUAAAUGCAGCCUCAUAUCUAAAGAACCCAAAACCAAUAGCGCCAAGGCUAUUAGAUAACUAUAGACAAAAUAAUGAGACAUAGUUAAAAGCUAGGAAAUAAAAGAAGAAACAACUAACACUAUCUCUUUUAUCUCUUCUGGGGGAAUAUGCGAGAGAUGCCAUGGCUCACUGAAUGUAUUAGGACCCAUAAAGUACAUUCUAUGCACAUGACUCUGCGAUUGCUCUGCUCUAUUUGUUUCCAACACCUGAAAAAAGGAACAACAUUAUAAUCAAUAACACUGUAUUAUAAGGAAUAUUUGGCAGGUUCUUUUGCUCAGUUAUGUCUGCUAGCCAUAUAUUAGUUGCAUCUGGAGUGACAAAUCAGAAAAUACAUAAAUCAUUCUUCGUUUGCUUCCAGAAAGUACGACAACCAAACAAUCUUGGAUCUAAUGUUCGAAGACAAAGAAAAUCAUCUAACCUCAUUCAGUGAUUCAAGGAAAGGGAAGGAAUGAUCUAUUUGAGAGCCAUGAUGCGUGGGUGCUGGGCCAGGUAAAUCAUCAACUCCAACAAAUUUCAUCCGUGCAACACUAAGUACAAGUGCUAAUAGGAUGAGGAGACCCAUCAGAAGAAGACCAAACAACCAAGGCCCACCAAAUGUGUAAAUUAACUCCUCCAGAGCGGUGUAACAGUGUGGCAUGUGAUACCUUUCCGAUAUGCAUCGAUAUGGACAUGGUGUCUCAGAAACACCACCUGUUAUUAAGCAUAGAAAUUCCAAGGUUUAUAGUUGAGACAUAAAAAUGUUCGCCACCAAUUUACAGGCACAGAAUUUGUAAGAAAAAAUAUUCAUUACCGUGGGAAAAUAAAAGGUAAAAAGUUUAGGCUUGGUAGUUGAACGGGAAACAAAACUUAUAUCACCCAAAAAUAGGAAUUUUUUAUAGCAUAUAUGUAAUAUACAAGAGCUCCAGAUUUAUGCGAAAGGCUAUUAUACCUCGAACUGGGACAUAGACAGCACGAGAUGGAAGUUCAUCAACGGGACAAGGAAGGCAAAGAGACCUGUCAGAUCCAGUAACAUUCUUGAAUGUACCAGAUGGACAUUCCUGGAGAAAGAGUAGAAUUGUGAAUAUAAUGAGAACUACAUUAAUAAUUCAAUCGUAAUAAGGGAACAAAAGACAAAUAGAAAAUUUCAGCCCUGAUAUUAUAGAGCAGGAAAAUGUUGAGCAAAGUUUUUCUAACCUUGCAAAAUAUACCGUGGAGUCCCUUUGGACAAGGCUUCCCCGUUAUGGUGCCAUUUUUACCGGAAAAACCAUCAUCUACUGCCGCUCCCCCCCUACAAUUACAAAAAGAAACAGUGUGUUAAUGCGACAGGCUGGAAAGCGAUAUCAAAUAAUAGCGAAGUAGUGUUAAAUGCAGUCAAUGACGGGAAAACAUACUAAUGCCAUGGAAAACAGGUCAAAGAUUUGGGAAUGCACACGUAUUUAGAGGACAGACCUUGCAUGGAUUAUUCCGUUUACACUAGCAAUAGGUUGGUAUAUGUCCCCAGUGGGAAUGUUUGACCAAUGAAAAUGGAUCCUCCCACCUCCGCCACCACCACCACCAGCAGGACUGCCUGACCCACCACCACUUGAGAGAAGAGACGACUCUCCCAAAAUAAGAUAACGCAGGAACAAAAGAACUGUUCCGCCAGAACCACCACCAGGUGCUACAACAGAACCAUUUUCAUCUCUGCUCGAACGUUUGACACUUUCUCCAUCAGCCCUAAUUGACCCUUCAAGUGAUAAAGCAGAUAGAGGCUGCUCCAUUGAACCAAUCACUGACCAGAUUCAAAGGCAAAGAAAGAACAUGUUAAACAGUAUAAUCAUGAAUGCUAAAGCUUUCAUGGCAACUACAUGCCUGCACAACAGUGUAUGGCCUAAACCAUGACAAGCUUCUACAAUGUUAAUGGCCUACGAAUCAUAAACUUGUCACAAACAACAAAAUACAAUUCGCCAAAUAUAUUCGCCACACCAAAUACCAAUAGUCAGCAGUCUACAUCAUACAUUUUGCAUCAAAUUCCUAUGAACACAGCCUAAUCUCUCAAGUUUACUAGAACUCCAGAAUCAUCAAAAUCUCAAACAAUUCAUACCUACAAUACCACCACCAGAAGAUGAAUAGUCUGCGCUAUAAUCGCCACUUCCACUGCCAAGCUCGCAAGGGAGUUCUGCAUUUCCAUACGUAAUUCCACCUUCAACACAACUGUUAUUGUAACAUACACGGCCCCCUUUACCGCCAUGUCCACCACCACUACCAAAGCCAUUUCCAAGCAAUUUACCUUCACCUACACCACCUCUACAACCUGUGAUAACACGAAAAAAUUGCAUAAGUGUGAUGCUAAAAGUACAUUAAAAAGUAUAAGAACAUAUCUUCUUUCUCCCUAUGAAUGGGUAGCACCUAAUAUAUUAUAAUUAGGGAGUAAGCCAAGGACAUGCCCAUACGAAAUGUAGAGGAUGCGCGAUCAAAACAAAAUCCAAAGGGAAAAUAGUUAUUGUUACCCAUUCCACUGGCACUAAUCUCUCCAGAAGGUUCAAGGGUUACUGUUUUUGCACGGUGGAAAUGAACUACUGAUCCUUUGAUGAAACCUUCAACGAUAAUAUCCUCAACACGGCAUAUCUAGAAAGAAAGAAACGUUAUCAGAAUUUUCAUGCUAGAGCAUACGAGUUUAAACACAGCAGACAUACCUGUAGAGUAAAGGAUAGAGAUGCAUUAACAUUGCAAUCCUCUGGAGGAUGCAGUAGCUCAUAGGGGCAAUCUUGCCGAUCACAAUAGAGCUUUGGUGUACUGCAAAGGAUGAGAGUUUAAUUAUUGUCAGCUGAUAUUAUCUUCGAAGAAUAUGGAAUCAAACUAAGCAUAAUAUGGCAUUUCCUAAAAUCUUACACAGCAUCUCGGGAUGCAUUUUGUAGAGGACCACGCAAAAUAGAUCCAGGCCCAACCUACAAUUUAAAAAAAAAAGUCAUUAUCUCCUGAACCACAUCAAGCACCUUUUUACAUCUAUUAAUUAGAAAAGCCAAUAUGGUCUCUAAAGGAAACCGAUAGUCAAAUUAUGCAUGUUUCAUUGCAUUUCCGCGGCAAUGAACACCACCGCCUAUUUUUCAUCAGCACAUAUAGUCAUCUGAUGCAGGAGUGUCAUCAAAAUAAGUACUAGGAACCCACUUACAUAAAUCUGGUAAAACAGUGACAAAACAAGCCGUUGUGCUUCAAUGGAAUCCCCUGGUCCAGUAAGAUUCAAGAGACCUUGUCCAUGGACUCCAAGAUUUGCAUUUGACCGAAUGACAGAUGAUUCCUAAUUUAGAUUGAGAGGUCAUACAAACAAAUUAGAUGAAACGGCUUGUAACACACUAUUUGGAGGAGGAAAACAAUGACAUGAAUUUGUGAUUACCCUAAGAACAAAUAAAUUGCUAGCUUCGAGUAUGGAAGUCGAUACAGUUGUAUCUACUCCUCCUCCAUCUAUAUGCAAUUCUGAAUUCCACAUCAAGAACAUCUUAACGGUCAUGCGUAAAGCCCCAUAAACCUGGUACAUACCAAUAACGCAAAGCAUGACGAACAAAUGAUUUACAUGAGAACCAAAAUAGAAUAUGGAAUAUGAAGAAUGGGCAGAUAAACCAUGAAUGAAGCAGAUAGUAGCAGCACAGAAAUAUUCGUAUCUAGCGCAGAAAGCAUGAUCUGGAUCAGAAUUUCCGAAAAGUGGAGAACCAGGGAUAGACUCACCUUGAUAGUGGAAUCACUCAUUAAGAGUUCUUCGGCCAAUAAUUCAAAUACUGAUGUACCAUAAUGAGCCAAUCCGAAGCUCAAAACGCCUCCACACAACAAACUAAUUUGCCCUUGAACCUACAUAUUAAGUAUUUGAGUACUACAUCUUUAAUUUUACAAAAUAAUAUGCUGAAAACUGGAAAUCUCACUGAACACCUAAAUUUUAUAUACACAGGGAAGACUAAAGUGUACAGGAAAGACACUAGAGUUGCACAAAAAAAAGAAACAAUAUCAUUUUAUAUGAGAUCACAAAUAGCCCUAGCAUUACAACUGCGGAAGGUGAUCAAAUAGUUGACCUACAAAGCCCAUGCAAUGGAAAUUCACUUUUGAAAUACCUGAACACGACUCCAUAGCAGAGGACAAGUUGCCCGCGCUUUAUCCUGAAUAUAAACAUUGGUCCACAGAGGCUGGAAGGGGAAUUCUAAGAGAAGAGUGUAAGUAUCUGUCGUCAGAUUGUAGUUGCUAACGAAAAGGCUUCGGGGAACAGCAUCGUAUAGAGUCCCAGCAGCACCUGAGUUAUCUGGACAUCCGAUACUGUAUCCGCCUGCAUGUGGUUUCAUGAAAUUAGUUCACAUGAUUGCCGAUGUUAAGCAAGUACGGAAAUACUCGCUGGAAACAAAGUAACUAAAUAAAUAUCUGAAUGUAGAAUUUUGCUGGUGAUGAUCUAUCAGCUGAGAAAAUGGAAUUAUAGCAUGAAACCUAUUGGUUCAUAUUUUAGGACCCAAUAAAAUUUUGCAACACACAAGUUCUUGAAAUGUGGAUAUAUUUACGAUGGCCUGAAAAAAACAGGGACUUCCUAGGGACGAGAAUCUAACCAUGCACAAAGAUCUUUGGGUCAUCAUGCCUGCUAAAAAUAUUGACAGAGACUCUUCCACCACCUCCACCACCGUAACCAUUCCCACCACAUGCACUAAUCUGUCCAAUUCCAGUCCUGCACUUCAAAUAACAGCAAAGCAGAAGAUGCUAACUGAGAUCAAUUUACCAAGAAUCUGAGAAGACAAAAGACAUGGGUUGUUUCAUGUGUACCAUACAAUAACGAACAGCAAAUUUCGGAGAGUUAUAACCAAGAUCUAAAAUAUUUAAAAAUAAAUAUGCCCUGAAUAAGAUGAAUUCUUAAUCACACAUCCUAACGAGAACUAGGACGAGAACAGAGACCCUAUAAAGCACAGUCCUAGCAUACAAUAUUCAACCAUGAGUGGAUCAUGCAACUCUGUUCAUUUCCUCAAACUCAACAUGCGCUAAAGAUUACGUUCUUGAGAUAAAAAUCAGGACCUAGCAAUUAAUAAUGCUUAAUCUAUUGCAAAUCUUGCCUUCUCUGCUGACUAAAAAGACUUAAAAUCCAGGGAAAAAACAGCAUAGAAUCGAAAGUACGUUACAUCUUAUAUGCCGUGAUGUAGACGCUGCCACCAGACCCACCACCACCUUUAGCUCCUCCAUAACCUCCGUCCGCCAAAAGGCUCCCAUUAACAUCCAGAAACUGCGUUACAUUCAUCUUCACUCUCCCACCCCCUCCUCCCCCAUAAUCAAUCUCCCUGCUCGUCGACCCGCCUUUACUCCCAUAACUCCACGGCUCAUCCAGAGUCGACCACGAGUACGCAUCCCCUCCCCACACAUCUUCCGCAAGCUUCUUGGUAUCAGUCAAACAACAAGCUCCCCUCCCACCAUGCCCUCCACCAGCACCAUCAAUCCCCUGCGGCGUCCCACUGGUCUGCGCCGGAGGGCUCCCAGCUAAACCCGUCGUGUUCACCGCCGAUCCAUCAGCAAAGCUAGCGUUACCAGCCGAAAGCUCAAAGGUCCCGGCAACAAUCGUGGACUCAGCUCCCAGAGAGAAGUUCCCAGAGACGUUGAUAGCUAUAGAGCAACCAGGGAUCGAGCAGUGAAACUUAACACCAGGCAAGAUAAUAAAAUUACCCUUCCCAGCUAUGUACACAUCUUUAGUAAGAUUCAAAUCGGCGACGAUCUUACAAGUAGUAUCUAGAAACCCAACGCCGCCGAGAUCCUCGCUGCAGGACACCGAGGGCCCGUGCGGAGGCGGCGGCGGCGGAGCAGGCGGGGAGUAAUCCUGGUGGAAAAGCAGCGACUCUGAAUCCGAAUCCGGGUCUAAACCACCCGAAUUGGGCUCGACAAUGGCGAAUCGGUAGCUUGAGCUAGGGUUUACGGCAAAAACCGCAGCAGCUACGAAGAAGAAGAGGAAUUGAAAUCGAGCCAUCUAGUAGUUUCGUCAACAGUCAUCACAGACGAAGUCUAGUGAGGUUUUCGAUUCGAUCCCAAUUCGGAUCAUUGAGCUUAGGGUUGACGCGUGAUUGAAAACCCAGAGACUCAAUUAAACACACGCGCCUAUGCAGAAUACAUCAACGUGCGUGUGUGUGUGUGUGCAUGUGUAUGUAUAGUCGUCUUGCUCGAGAAGAUUUGGAGAAAAAGCGUAUAAACCCCCACACCGAAAACUGCUCUUGUAGAGAGAGAAAUGUUGCUUUUUCCUUGCUCGGGUAGAGAGAGAAAGAGAGAGGGAAGAGAGAGCUUUCGAGGAGAAAGUAACAGGUUGGAACGGAGAGUAGUUGCGAUCAGGUGCGUGCGGCUUCACCGUAAUCGCGAAGAAAUCAGCAAAAUCUUCUUUUGGAUAUAGCAAAUCAUAAUAUGCCAUGUGUAUGUUUAUUUCAUUAAUUAUCGAAUAGUUGUAUGACAGCUGUUAUAUUACGUUUUAAUUACUCGCUUUGCUGUUAAACUGUAUCUUCCUAUUAUGGAACAGUGUUUACAUUGGGCCUGAUAGGCCCUGAUUCCUAUGGAGUUUAAUGUACACGUGCUACGCUUGAGUGUGAGUGUCCAACUUUUUUUUUUUUUGCAUCUCAUUUUAUUAACUUAUUAAAGAAAGUCGUGUGAGUAAAGACAAAAAUUAACAAAUCUGGCUGGCCCAAUAGAAAGCUAGCGGCAUUAUCAAUUCAAGACCCAAUUUUUUUUUUUUUUCCCAAAUUGUUUUUAUUGAUUAAAAGGGCCAAGUCCAUGGCCGAAGCCCACAAACAAAAAGCCCACUAGCACGAGAGGUAACUUAUAACAAAGGCCGAGGCCCAAAUUCAAAUAAACGGUCCAAAGCCCCAAAUACACACAAACGGACGGUUUGCCCUAGAGGUCCACCAAGGAGACAGGCCGGACACGUGUAAACAUCUGGAGAGUCUGCACGCCACGCGUCGUCCGUCUCAACUCGAUCUCCGCCUCUUCGCACAACCGCCGAAACCAGCCACCGACAACCACUUUUCACCGGAGCUCCGAUACUGCAGAGCCUCCGCGUCACCAUGACUCUUCACGGCCGCUCUGUCUUCACGCCGGAGAGAUCGUCGUUCUAACGAGGUCUCCCCCGGCUCUGAACCACCAGAAACCCUAGAUAGGCGCGCCGCGAACCACCGCUAUCUUGGCUUAACUAUCCUCACCGUCGCUGGAAUUCUCUUCCUCAACGACCCACAAACUCAAACUCGAACUACACGACACCCACCAAACUUUAAAUACCUCUAACCCAGUAACCUCACCCCAAAAUUAGGGUUUCAACACGGCGGCGAGGAUCUUUGAGAGCCUCCUCACUCCGUCAUUCAUAAGCCGGCAAAGAAGGAGCUGAAGAAGCCUCCCUUUCCGGAAGCUAGAGCGGCGACGGUGGAUCUGAGAUAGCCUCCACCCCCCGCGAACCGACCGGCGUCGAUGAAUCUAGAGAAGCCUCCAUCGNNNNNNNNNNNNNNNNNNNNNNNNNNNNNNNNNNNNNNNNAUUCGACCAGCGUCGAUGAAUCUAGAGAAGCCUCCAUCGCCCGGAGAAACACAACCCGAACCGACAAGAAAUUCGCCUCCCCCGAGGCUCUCCAAACGAGCGCGUCUUCACUCCAAAAUCCGACCACCGAGAAGGUAAGUUACGGUAUCAGAGCUCCGACAAGGCGUCCGUUGAUGGCACUUCGGAAACAAGAUGGAGGAAAACUAAAUUGCUGAAGCAGGAGUGCUUCCGGCGACGGCACGGACGCUCACGCGCCGGCCGUACGCCGGAGAAAGUCUCUUCUCUCUUCUCUCUCUUCUUUGAACAGUCUAUGAGAGUUAUUAUGAGUGCGAGACCCAAUUUUAAUUUAACAAAUCCAGAUUUACGUUUUUUUAUCAAAAUAAUUAUAGAUAUUGGUAGUCCUCAACUGAGCUUAUUAUCCAAAAUCCAAAAACCGAACCGGAACCGAACGAAAACAUAACAUAUACCCGAAUAUUUUUAAUAUAUUGAAAAAUUUAAUUAUUUUUAAUUUUAAUACAUAUAAAUAUAAUUUAUAAAUAAAAAUAUCUUUAAAAAUCUGAAUAACCCGAAUAUUUUUCGGGUUUUUUUCGGGUUUAACUCGGAUUUUCGUGAUUGUUUCGAUUUUUUUUCGGAUUUUCAUGAUUGUUUUGAUUUUUUGGGUUAUAAACCUGAACCAAAUCCAAAUUAUUUGUAAUACGGUUCCACUUCAGGUUUUAUAAAAAAAAUAGAAAUCCGACCCAAACCCGACAUUAUCCAAACCGAACCGAUCCAAAAAAUGUCUGGUUCCUAAACGGUUCCUAAACAUCUCAACACGAAUAACCCGUAAACCGAAUAAACCGAACCGGCCUGACCCGUAUGCCCAACACUAAAUAUUGGUGUGUAUGAACAACAGCCUACAGCUUCAACGUAUAUGAAAAAUACAAAUUUUAGUGAUGAGGAUAUGUAUUACAUGGAUCCCAUGGCUUAUGGACAUUCUACAUGUUCAAAGUAAGAGAUUGCGAUCAGAAAAGACCAAUUUGAAUCUGUGGGAUACAUUCUAAAAUGCAAUUUGGCGUGACUCAUCACAAUGCAUCUGCUGCUGCGUACUACUCAGGGUUGUCGCAGGAUUCGGGCUCACCGGACUAUACAAUGCACAACAACAACAACAAACACCUGAAAUCUCAGAUGAUUUUUUUUUUGAUAAAAGAAUUUUUUUUGGUAAAAGAAAAGGUGGUUUCACCUCUUUGUCGGAAUCCAAGCAUUGUAAAUAGUUUAUCUCAACGUGAAUUAAACCCAUGUGGCGGUAGUUGCAGCCGCAACCCCUUUACCAUUGGACCAACUCAACAAUGGUUCUCAGAUGAUUUCUUCUCCAGCCUCAGUAACCACAGUUACCAAACUAGAGGCUUUAAGCAGUGAAUAUGUCUGAGGUUAUCAGGUUUAAUUCUACAUUCAAACUAGAAGUCAAUGUUUGUCGUUCUUGCUCUUGAUUGAUGGGACAGUCCUCUCGGUGGCUGAUGUGCCCAUUGUUGUUGUGGCAAUUACUCUGCGUUUUAAAUGAGUGAGAAUUGUUUAUGGUUUCUUGGUAAGAGACUAUUAAUUUGUUAUUGUUUCAAACUUUCAAUAGUGUCUUGCACAACGUAUAAUUUCAAUUUUUCAUCGGAGAAUAUAUCGUGUGUGAUUCUUCUUCUUAGCUUUUUAUGAUUCAAUUUUUGUCAUUAUUUAAUAAAACAGUAUAUCACAUUGAUCACGACCAUUCUUACACGACUUUGGGAGGCUCACUCACUGGUCACAAAAAUUCAUAAAAAAAUAUUAAUUAAUCUUAUCUACAAAAGGAGUAUACACUUUAUGAAGAGAAAACAAAAAAAACGUCUGAAACCAAAAUCAAGAUGUCACCUACUCAGUGGCUACCCACUAUCCUCACCGUAGUCUUCUUCUUCUUGAGCUUAGCUUCACCCUCACAUGGAAGCUCACAAGUUGGAUACGGCUACAUCGUUAGCUCAGUGGCCGUUGAUUCCAACCAGAAGGUCUUGACGGCGAAGCUUGAUCUGAUCAAACCAACGUCCGUUUACGCACCAGACGUUCAAACGCUAAACCUUCAUGUCAGGUCAUAUAAAUAAUCUUCUCCCUCUCUCUAAUCUAUCUACUGAACAAUAUUGAUAUGUAUUUACAUUUACAUAUAAUAUAUGUUACAGCUUGGAGACAAGUGAGCGUUUGAGAAUCAGAGUAACAGACUCUACUCAACAGAGAUGGGAGAUACCGGAAACCGUUAUCCCUCGCGCCGUAACCCACUCUCCUCGCCGUUACUUAACGGAAGAGAACAAUACCUUGGAAGAUCCAUCAUCGGACUUAGUUUUCACACUCCACAAAACGACGCCGUUCGGUUUCUCCGUCUCCAGACGCUCCUCCGGCGACGUCCUCUUCGACGCGUCGCCGGAUCCAUCGGAUCCGAACACCUACUUCGUCUUCAAAGACCAGUUCCUCCAACUAACCUCCGCCUUACCGGAAUCCCGAUCGAAUCUGUACGGUCUCGGAGAACACACGAAGCGAUCGUUCAAGCUGAUCCCGGGAGAUGCAUUGACUCUGUGGAACGCUGACAUCGGGAGUGAGAAUCCGGAUGUUAACCUGUACGGAUCGCAUCCGUUUUACAUGGACGUGAGAGGAUCUAACGGUCACGAUGAAGCGGGGAUGACUCACGGCGUUCUAUUGAUGAACAGCAAUGGAAUGGAUGUGAGGUAUGAUGGAAGUCGGAUUACUUAUAAUGUGAUUGGAGGUAUCAUUGAUCUGUAUGUGUUCGCCGGACCGUCGCCGGAGAUGGUGAUGAAUCAGUAUACAGAGUUUGUUGGAAGACCUGCACCUAUGCCUUAUUGGUCAUUUGGUAAGAGCUCUUUGCUCUCUGUGCAUUUUUACGAUACAAUGGUAGGGCUCUGAGGUCACAGGUUCGAACUUCGUUGAGAGAGAGAUUUGAUCUCAAAAAUAGUUUAAUUACAUGGUUUGGGCCUCGUCCUUGGAGAAUGUACGGAUCAAGAACUCUUCGUAGUCACUAAAAGAAAUUGAGAUGUUGUUUUGCUUUGAAAAUGUUUCUAUAAAUACUUAUUUUAUUGGGGGUUUAUUCUUUUUGGAAGGAUUCCAUCAGUGUCGGUAUGGAUACAACAAUGUGUCAGACCUUGAAUCUGUGGUUGAUGGAUAUGCAAAAGCUGGAAUACCUCUUGAGGUUAUGUGGACUGACAUAGACUACAUGGAUGGCUACAAAGACUUUACUUUGGACCCUGUGAACUUCCCGGAGGACAAGAUGAAAUCAUUCGUGGAUACACUUCACAAGAACGGUCAGAAGUACGUGCUGAUCUUGGAUCCAGGUAUAGACUAUAACACUAUCUCUUAAGAGUCUCUUAACAUAUUUGAUUCAAGAAAUGAACAUUUGGGCUUUGCUUGUAGGUAUUGGUGUGAAUAGCUCCUCUUACGGGACAUAUAACAGAGGAAUGGAAGCAGAUGUGUUCAUAAAACGAGAUGGUGAGCCUUAUCUCGGUGAAGUUUGGCCUGGGAAAGUAUACUACCCUGACUUCUUGAAUCCAUCUGCUGCAACUUACUGGAGCAACGAAAUCAAGAUGUUCUUGGAAACUCUCCCUUUGGAUGGUCUGUGGCUUGACAUGAACGAGUUGUCAAAUUUCAUUACUUCGCCUCUGUCCCCUGGAUCUUCACUCGAUGAUCCUCCUUACCAGAUCAACAACUUAGGGGGCAAAGCUUCUAUCAAUAAGAAGACAGUACCAGCAACAGCUAUCCAUUUUGGGAACGUUAGUGAAUACGAUGCGCAUAAUAUGUAUGGACUCUUGGAAGCUAAAGCCACUCACCAAGCUAUGGAGGAUAUAACGGGAAAGAGACCGUUUCUUUUGUCGAGAUCCACGUUCGUAAGCUCGGGGAAGUACACAGCUCAUUGGACAGGAGAUAACGCUGCGAAAUGGGAGGACUUGGCUUACUCGAUCCCGGGGAUACUCAACUUUGGACUGUUUGGGAUCCCAAUGGUUGGAGCUGACAUCUGUGGUUUCUCAGAUGAUACCACCGAGGAGCUAUGUCGUCGAUGGAUCCAGGUAGAGUGAUUAAUUCAUGUUCAUGUUCAUGUUCUUACUGAGUUCAGUGUUCUAACAUUGGCUCCUUAGUUUUUCAGCUUGGAGCGUUUUACCCUUUUGCAAGAGAUCAUUCGUCCAAAGGCACUGCUAGACAAGAACUAUACCUAUGGGAUUCGGUUGCUGCUUCCGCAAGAAAGGUUCUCGGCCUUCGUAUGAGACUCCUCCCACAUCUAUACACACUAAUGUACGAGGCUCACGUUAGUGGCGUCCCUAUAGCGCGGCCGCUCUUCUUCUCCUUCCCUAGAGACACUUACACCUAUGAGAUCAGCUCGCAGUUCUUGAUCGGUAAAAGCAUAAUGAUAUCUCCCGCGCUGGAAAAAGGGACAGUGUCCGUCGAUGCAUAUUUCCCCGCAGGGAACUGGUUCGACAUGUUUAACUAUUCGUUUGCCGUCGGUGGAAGUUCCGGCAAGCGUGUUAGUCUUGAUACUCCCGCCGAUCACGUCAAUGUUCAUGUUCGAGAAGGUAGUAAAUUUUAAGUAAUUUCCGGUUUGAUAAGGAACUUGAGAUUGAACCGAACUAACUAUUUGGACAGGUAGCAUUGUGGCUAUGCAAGGAGAAGCAAUGACGACAAGAGAAGCCAGAACGAAACCGUUUGAGCUUCUAGUUGUAGCCAGCAAGCUUGAGAACAUCUCGGGCCAACUGUUUCUCGAUGAUGGCGAAAACAUAAGGAUGGGAGAGGAAGGAGGGAACCGUGAUUGGACCCUGGUGAAGUUCCGGUGCUACGUAAACGGAAAAUCCGUGGUGCUGAGAUCAGAAGUGGUGAACCCGGAGUACGCGUCUAGGAUGAAAUGGAGCAUCGGGAAAGUGACGUUCGUUGGGUUUGAGAACGUGGAGAGCGUGAAAACAUACGAAGUUAGGACUGGGGAGAGGUUGAGGGGGCCAAGAAUCUCUCUUCUCAAGACUGUUGUGGACGAUGAUGAUCCCAAGUUUAUGAGUGUGGAGGUUUCUAGACUGGCGUUGCUUGUUGGGAAGAAGUUCGAGAUGCGAUUGAAAUUGACUUAAAGAAAAGGUAUCUAUUUUAUAAACCCAAUAAGAUGAUAAAUUUGUGGAUGCUUAAUAAUAAAUAAAAAGAGUAAAGAUUUCGCAACGUUAUUACAUCAAUCAAGUUCAUAAACAUUGGAGAAAAUUUUCAGACAAGAGGCUUCAGUUUGGUUCAUAGACACUGUAUUAAUAGCAGCGCAAGUCAAUCAAAGAGCUAAAGUAGUUACCUCUACGUCGCUUGCGAAUCCAACAUCAGAAAGAUCAUUCUCCAGAGCUUUCACCAGAGUUUCAAAGUGGGUUUUGGUUACACUGGUCAAAGUAGUUAGUUUUGUCCGAAAACCCUUGAAGUCUUGUUUUGGAGUGUCUUCAGGAUAUUGAAACACCUCUGAUUCCAACUCUACGCAUUUGUGGAGCCUCUCCAGACCAGACUCAGCCUCUCCUUGCAUAUACUCGAAAAACUGUCUCUUUUCCUGUUCAGAUUCAAGUAGAUAGUACCCGUAUGCAUAUGUCCAUUUCAGCACCCUUCUGCAUUCAAUGAUCUGAAGCCACGCAUCUGUGAUGAACCCGAGCUCAGUUUCUGGUAUGCAUUGUUUGUCACUAAGCUUCAUAACAUCCACUGAUAGGAACUUCUCUAGAUCCCCUAUAGCUUUUUGCCUCGACGUUUGAUUGCCUGCCCAGCGCUCAUAAUAAUGAGUGUAUUUCUCUAGCGAGUGCUUUGCCAUCUCUCGCUUCAUUUCAGCCUCAUCAUGCAGUCCUUGUCCCUUAGCCUUCGAAUACCGGUUGCAUGUAUAAGGCCCGCCAGUGCCUUCCCCGUGUUCCGACCAUGCGCCAAGGCAAAGCCAACAAAACUGAUGUCUGCAAGGUGGUGUGCAUGACAUGUGCAUGCAUCCACGGUUCUUUUCAAUUGGACGCUUACACUUGGGACAAGGCUUGGAAUUGUCGAGUAUCCACUUGGUAUUUUCAGCUUCAACGCUGUUCUUGCGUAUCCAUUGCGAAACCCUGUCACAAUCCACAGGACGGUGAGCGUCUUGGGUGCAAUUCCAGCAGAAGCUAUGCGAACACAAGCAUGAAACAUCGUAACUACUUCCGGUCCCGGUGGCAGAAAACUCAAUGGCAUGCUCACAUCCUGGGGCAGGACACCACUUGGUCUUUUUGUUUUCUUCCACAUAAGAUCUAAGAAAAUACCUAUCAUACUUGUCCUUGGCUUCAAAGGAAGCCAGUUUCUCGACCAUGUCUCGACCAACAGCAACUGGACAAGAUGGCUCAGGACAUUUUUGCAUCAAACAUCCCGGGCCAUCGUUGAUGGCUAUGCUGAUGUAACUUGUCCAGCAUGUAGAACAGAAAGCAUGACCACACAUAAUCGGUACAAUAUCUAUACGACAGAAGUAGUCAAAGCAUAUUCCACAAGCAACUUUUCCUCCUUCGGAAUAUGGAACAAUAACAGAUCCUCCUUCCAAGCCAGCACUUGUCCGAACUCUCCUCUCAUCCGCAAACCAUUCAUCAUUAACUUUACCAACAUUCCAGUGAUAGUGAAGAAGCAGAACACUAGCUUCGACCUUGCUUAGGGAGAGUAUCAUGGAAACUUGUGCAAUAUCACUCUCUUGUUGUCUACGUAUAUCUUCUUCCUUAAGAACGACAUAAUUCAUAUGGGAGCGAGGCGAGGAGAUCAUUGAGGAAUCGUCAUCGUCAUCCCCAAGGAAACCCGUGUCAUCUGUAUCAUCAUCAUGAUCGGCCCCGUCGUUGUAAUCACCUGCACCGUCGCUGUAAAGAUCUUCCUCUCCAGAUUCCAUAUAGUAGUCAUCGGAAUCCAUAAUCCUCUUCCCUUAGUCGCUACGGCAGACUAUGGUGUUGAUAGAUAUGCACAUAUACGUUUGUGUUAAAAAGAUAUUAUUCCAUAUUUUCCUAUGUUUUGUUUUACCUUUUGCAUAAUGAAUUUAGGAGGAGUCUCUUUGUAUUUACAAAUGUUCUAAGAUACAGUUGGUACAUCCGUAUAUACCGGUGUAUAUACAGUUGGUUUAGAUGGACACUUUUUUUUUUUGUCAACAGAUGAACACAAACAGAGCGUUUAUACAGUGUUUAUACAUAAACACCGUUUAUACCUUCACAAUUUAUAAGCUAUAUUUUAAAGGAAAUUUUAGUAAACAAUUAUAAUUUACCUGUUUGAUUCUUUUGAUUUCGUUUGAUCGUACCAGUUUAUGUUUUUUUUUCAAUAUUUCAUAAAUAGUUAUAACGUAUCAUUUAAAUUAUGUUUGCUAUAUAUAUUUUAUAUUUACAUAUAAUUUAUAUAAUUAUUUUAAUUAAUACUAUAAUAUUUAUUUAGAAUAUGACUAUCGUAUAUACUAUCUUAUCGUAUAUAUCCAAGUGCCAUACAGUAAUCAAUCAUCCGACUGGCGUAUAGCGUAUUUUAGAACAAUAGUAUUUACAUAUAUCUUUUUUUUCUUCUUUUGACAUAUUUUUUUUCUUUUAUUCUCUUUCUGUUAUUUUUAUUUUAGAUAACAUUCCAUAUUAAAAUAUUCUAAAAACUUCAAGAGAUUUCAUUACCUCUUUUAAUAUUCCAGCUAAUUAUUGUAAUAAUUUAAUAUAUGAAAUUUUAAUAUGUGAUAUUCUCUCGUUUUAAGGGAAUAAAAAUAUUUUAUCUUCUUAAUAAAAUAUUAAUAUUAUUUUAUAUAGUUUAUUAGCAUAUUUGACCUCAAUUGUUUUGCAUUCAUAUCACGAGUCUUUUGCAUUCGAUUAGUUUUAAAUUUUUAAUUGUCCUCGUUUAACCCAAAAAUUUUAAGAAUAUUUUUUUUGUCACACAUACACUUAAUUUUAAAAAUGUUAAAAUUUCUAAUUACCCUCGUUUAACCCAAAAAACGUUAAAACCACAAUUAAGCGUUUGGCUGCACGUCCCUAAGUUUGAUUUAUUCCUAAAUCCUACGUAGUCACGGAGUACUUUAUGUCACUUAAAGGUAUUAGCGCCGACUAGUUUCGGAUCAGGGAUGACUACGGGUUGCGGAAAGCUCAUAAGAGCGACUACGGACUGUGGAACAUUCUUGUUUAAAAAAAAAACGUUAAAACCACAUAAUUCUAGAUAUUAAUAAUCGCUUUAUAUAUCAAACCACGAGAGCAGACCAGCGGGUGAACUCCAGAAAAAAAAACAAACCAUUUCACUUUACUUUUCUUUUCAAAGUCUGUCUUGUCGAUUUAUCAAAGUCCGUCUUUCUCAAGGCUUCGAGACAGAUUCGUAACUUCUCAGUGUUUUUCCUCUUAAUCUUCGCACUAUUUGAUUUUCUUUUUGCCUCUAAACUCGACACGUGGACUAUCAUCCUCCACUUAGUUUUCAUCAAGUAGCUAUUAGCUCAGGGGUCCGCUUACGUUCUCAGAUCAACUCUCCGACGGUUGCAAAGGUGAUCGCUCAUUGCCUUUUCCAGUGAAGUAAUUAGCGAUUGGAUCAAAGCUACUUCAGUGACUAGCGACGAGAUCUAAGUAACUUAGGAUUGAUAAUAGUGUUCAAAGGAUGCAGACUAUCUCUAGGGUUCUACAAGAAGGUAAAGAGAACGGAAUCUUGGUUAGGACAGGACAGUAUAAGUCGUUUAGACCGAAACUGCUUCUUCUCCUAGGUCUUUUUCUUGCUGUUGUUGUCACUAUCUUCAUCAUUAGUGUCUCUACAAUCAACUCCACUGAACUACAAAGUGUAGUAACCACGGUUACUUCCACCUUUGUCCCAUGCCGUGAAGACGAACCGAACAGUUUAGGUAAAUGGAUACAACCUCCUACGGUUCUGAUGCACAACAUGACCGAUGAAGAGCUUCUUUGGCGUGCCUCUCUAUGGCCUCGGAGAAAAGGAUAUCCUUUUAAAAGGGUUCCAAAGAUUGCCUUUAUGUUCUUGACCAAAGGCCCCUUGCCACUUGCUUCGCUUUGGGAGAGGUUCUUGAAGGGUCACAAGGGGCUUUACUCUGUUUACGUUCAUCCGGAUCCGUCUUUUAAUGCCAAGUUUCCAGCUGAUUCUGUUUUCUACAAGAGGCAGAUACCGAGUCAGGUACGCUUCUUAUGAGUCUCUUUCGCUAUAGACGAUUUAAUAAAGAUUUCAAUAGUUGAGUUAUUCUGGGGCUGAAUGUUUCGUCCGGCUUGGUCCAGGACCUGCCUCUUGGGAUUACUAAUCACAUAUAUCAGAAAACGUAACUCUUGAAUCAGACUUGUGUCUUUAGUAGUAACUCUUGGUUAUGUAUUUGAUUUGGUUGUAACUUGAAUGUGUGUACAUCACUGAGCAGGUUGCAGAAUGGGGGAGAAUGACCAUGUGCGAUGCAGAGAAGCGGCUCCUCGCCAACGCGCUUCUCGAUAUCUCCAACGAAUGGUUUGUCCUAGUCUCAGAGUCGUGCAUCCCUCUCUACAACUUCACAACGAUCUACACCUACUUAAGCCAAUCAAAACACAGCUUCAUCGGUGCUGUUGACGACCCUGGACCCUUCGGUCGAGGCCGAUACAACGACAACAUGGAGCCUGAAGUUCCCAUCGCCAAAUGGCGAAAAGGGCCACAAUGGUUUGAGGUAGACCGGAACCUGGCAGCUACCAUUGUGAAAGACGCAUUGUAUCACCAGAAAUUCAGAGAGUUUUGUAGGCCUGCUUGCUAUUCAGACGAGCAUUAUUUCCCUACGAUGCUCACUAUUGAGAAACCGACGGCGUUGGCUAACCGGAGCGUGACGUGGACGGACUGGUCUAGAGGCGGGCCCCACCCGGCUACGUUUGGGAGGUCGGAUAUUACAGAGGAGUUCUUUGGAAAGAUCUUUGAUGGAGAGAACUGCAGUUACAAUGGUCGUAACACUUCCAUGUGUUAUCUUUUCGCGAGGAAGUUUGCUCCUAGUGCUUUAGAGCCGCUGCUCCACAUUGCUCCCAAGAUUAUGGGGUUUUGAGUUAGUACAGUAGUGUCUAUGAUACGGACAGGAUAUGGAUUAUAUGAGAUAUUUUGCGCCAAUAUCCAUUUUAUUUGUUUGUUUUAUACAAGUUUGGAAUAAACGAGGUAUUAUAACUGAGAACGUUGCACAACAGGAUCUUGUAACUUUAGACGUCAAAAGAAAAAACUAUGUAGCUCAAUUUUUUUGGUUCCUGACGUUAAGCCCGAUGCUUAAAUUAGAUAAGAAGCUAUAAGGUUAGGUUAUAAGUACUGAAAUACUACCUACAGCACAAGUGGCAAUGGGAACAUAACACGGACACAGGUGUAUAAACACAUUUUUAACACAUUCACUCUCUUUUCCUUUAUUUUCUUUUUGUUAUUUUUUGUUUUAGAUAAAAAUCCAUAUUAAAAUAUUCUAACAAGAUUUUAUUAAUUUUUAUAGAACACAAGAAAAUUUCAUUACCAUUUUUAAUAUUCUAACUAAUUAGUUUAAUCAUUUUAAUAUAUGGAAAUUUAAUUUGAGCUUAUUAAACAUUUUGUGGUUUUAAGGGAAUAUUUAUAUUUUAUUUAAUAAAUAUUAAUAUUAUAUAUAAAUGGUAAACAAUACUAAUAUAUUUUUCUUUUUGCACAGUUUUUUAAAGCUGAUAUUACAAUUAUAAAUCAUAUUAAAUAGAUGAUUUCACAACCGAUAAAUAAUGAGGAUUUUAUGUUUAAAUGCAUUAUUCCAACCGUCUUAUAAAAAUUUGACCAUGUUUAUUUGCACAAUGCUAAAAAAAAGUCUGCAAGGAUUCUCACCCAUAAUGUGUCUACUUGUUUAAUAAUCCGGAACUGGAAAAAGGGAGGUUACCCACUGUUCAGUAGCCUAUUUGACCUCAAUUGUUUUUGCAUUAACAUAUCGCCACGAGUCUUCUGCAUUCAUUAUUCGAUUACUUUUAGUUGCCCUCGUUUAACUCAUAAACUUUAUACUAAUGUUCAAAGGCUGCAGACUAUAGUGUUCAAAUUGAUACUUAAAGAUUGAUAUAGAGUCUCUCUAUAGCGUUCAAAGGAUGCGGUCUAUGGUUGUACAGUUGGAAGAAGGGAAAGAUAACGGAAUCUCGGUUAGGACAGAACAGUAUAAGUCAUUUAGACCGCAACUGCUUCUUGUCCUAGGUCUUUUUCUUGCUGGUGUUGUUACUAUCUUCAUCAUUAGUACAAACAAGUAUACUGGACUACAAAGUGUAGUAACCACAGUCACUUCUAGCUUUGUCCCACGCCGCGAGGAGGAGCCUGACGGUUUAAGUAAAUGGAUACAACCUCCUGGGGUUCUGAUGCAUAACAUGAGCGAUGAAGAGCUUCUUUGGCGAGCUUCUUUCUGGCCUCGGAGAAAAGGAUAUCCGUUUAAAAGGGUUCCAAAGAUUGCCUUUAUGUUCUUGACAAGAGGCCCCUUGCCUCUUGCUUCGCUUUGGGAGAGGUUUUUGAAAGGUCACAAGGGGCUUUACUCGGUUUACAUUCAUCCCCAUCCAUCUUAUACAGCCAAGUUUCCAGCUGAUUCUGUUUUCUACCAGAGGCAGAUACCAAGUCAGGUCCGUAAAUUUUUGUUAAUGCUUUUUUAACAAUAAAAUGUUCAAAUAGAUAAUGGCUUUGUAAUUAUUUUAAUUUGUAUUUAUUAAAAAUUAUUUAUAUUUUUUAAUAAUAUUUAAGUUUAAAUAUUUUUGCUACUAGUAACAAAUAUUUCUAGAUCCGCUAUUAAUAUCUAGAAAACAUCGUUGCGCAGCUUGCACAAUGGGGGAGAAUGAACAUGUGCGAGGCAGAGAGGCGGCUUCUCGCCAACGCCCUGCUAGAUAUCUCUAACGAAUGGUUUGUUCUAGUCUCAGAGUCAUGCAUCCCCCUCUUCAACUUCACAACAAUCUACACCUACUUAAGCCAAUCAAAACACAGCUUCAUGGAUGCUUUCGAUGACAAUGGACCCUUCGGUCGAGGCCGCUACAACGAGAACAUGGAACCUGAAGUUCCCAUUGCCAAAUGGAGAAAAGGGUCACAAUGGUUUGAGGUAGACCGGGACCUGGCAGCUACCAUUGUCAAAGACACAUUAUAUUACCCGAAAUUCAGAGAGAUUUGUAGGCCUGCUUGCUUUUCAGACGAGCAUUAUUUGCCUACGAUGUUGACUAUUGAGAAACCAAUGGCGUUGGCUAACCGGAGCAUGACGUGGACCGACUGGUCUAGAGGUGGCUCUCAUCCGGCUACGUUCGGGGAAUCAGACAUUACAGAGAACUUCUUUCAAAAGAUAUUUGAUGGUGUGAAUUGCACUUACAAUGGUCGUAACACUUCUAUGUGUUAUCUCUUUGCGAGGAAGUUUGCUCCUAGUGCUUUGGAGCCGUUGCUUCACAUUGCUCCCAAGAUUAUGGGGUUUUAGAGAUUUUACGCCAAUAUCAUUUUAUUUUGUUUGUUUUUAAUACAAGUUUGGAGGUUAAGCAUGAUGCUAAAGUCAGAUAAGAAACUAAAAGUUUGGUCAUAAAACCGUAUAGACAAUAGGACAAAGGCUGAUAAGGCAGGCUCUUGUCUCCAACUCAUCACCUUAUGUCUUAUGAUUCUUAGAAGUUAGUAGUAAUUUGUUAACCGACCAAGGUUUUGUUUGGUUUGAAUGUGAAUACUUAAUACUUGGCAAAAGUGGCAUUGUGGCAAUGGGACAGAACACAGCCAGGUGUAGACGCACUUUUACACCUACCGAACUUCUCGAACCCAUCAAGAGCCUUGCCAUUUGCCAACACUUCAACCAUCUGUCUUUCUCUUAAUAAAAAAAUAAUCCAAUGGGCAAAAUUCAUUGUUUAAAAGAUUUCAGCAGGCUAAUGUUUAUUUUAUUGGAAUGCAGAAAGGAUACGAUAAUGCGGAAUUUAUUUAUUCGUUAUUGUUUACCACGUAUAACCUAUGGUUUAUUUAGAAUAGAGAGAAAUUCAAGAAAGGGUUCACAGCUGUGAGUACCGCCACCUAGGUAAACCGGGGCGUCUAGCUCUGGUGGUAAAGGGUUCACAGCUGUGAGUACCGCCACCUAGGUUCGAUUCCCGGCCACUGCGAAAUUUAACAUUCGGGCCGCAGCGACACAGAUUAGUCCCUUGGGCCUGGGAAGCCUUUGGGGAAACUGUGUAUAAUUCAAAAAAAAAAAAAAAGAGAAUCCACCAACUUAUCGAAAGCUAAUGAAGAAAGUAGUUUUUGUCUUUCUUCAAAACGAUGUUCACCACACACAAAAAGGAAGGAUAAAUGUUCCAUCUAUACAACUAAUCUUUAGCAUUUUAUUCAAAAGGUAGACAAAUCAAAACGUAUACAUUUUAAAUGCGGUUUUACUUUGAACAAAAAUGGUAAUUGCGGAAGAUUCGUUAUUAACAUCCUAAUCACAAAAAUAGAAAAUCAACAUUGCUUGGAGAAAUUAAGGACCGCCUAUUCUUCUAGACAUAUCUUCUACGUAAUUAAAAUGCUCUUUAGCACUAAACCGUGUUACAAUGUGAUUCCCACUCUCUCCAAACAAAUACAAGUCUGCACAUCUCGCCCGUUUCUUUCACGGUACCGCGUGACUUUGAAAAAAAAAAUGGACAGCGCAUCAUUAUUUUCACGCGCCAAACCAUCACAUUUCUCACCGACCGUUGUGCCUUUUAUCAAGGCUGAAGAGUUAGAUGCACGCGCCUCGGUGAGCGUUUAAAACACGGCACAUAUGUUAAAAACGGCGCCGUAACAGAGAGACGAUGACCUGUCGAAAUCUCAGUAAAAGAAUAUGGACCGUUGAUUGUCAUGAUUCGCGGGACCCGCAGGUGGACCAGCUGUAAUUGCAAGGAUUUCUAAUGCUGGAAAGUCCGGUUACCUAAACCCAGCUAAACCGGAUAUGCUCAACCUCUUUAUAAACGCCUCACCACAUUGCUAAUUUCACCAAAAAACCUUCAGAGCUUUAAAACAUUUCGAAUCAACAAAAACCCUAGCCUCCUCCUUUUCUUGCUCUCUCUCUCUCUACAAAUCUCUGAAAUGGCGAUCUCAAAGGCCUCCGUUGUUGCUCUCGUCGCGGUGAUCGUCUCCGUCGUUGCUACCGUCGCUUCAGCUCAGUCUGAGUCUCCGGCGCCAAGCCCCACUUCUGGAUCUGGUGCCUUCUCGCCGUCCAUCGUGUCAGCUGGCGUUGCAGCCGUCGCGGCUCUUGUGUUCGGCUCUGCUCUUCGGAUCUAAGUCUUUGUGAUGGCGAUUCGUACAGAGAUAUUGUUUUGAAAAUUUUUAUAGCAUUAUUGAUGAUAUUGGUGUGUAUUCUUGAGCUAUAGAUCUCUUUCUAUUGUGUCUUUGUUACCACUUUGCGAUAUUGUUUUUGAUUAUGAUAUGAUUCUAUUCUAUUUAUGGAUGUUUCUCAGAUGUUUCUUCGCCUUCUUCGCUUAAAUCGUUAUACGAGCUUGUUUUACAAAUCACAUGAUCGAAACUUUGCUAGAAAUUUGAUUAUAAUCUGAAGAUAAUUGUGAUUGUUACUUGGAUUAAUUUGAACUGAGUUAUAUUUUGGUCGAAAUUGAAUAAGAAUAUGAUCUAAGCUAAAAUUAAAAAAAAAAAAAAUAUAUAUAUAUAUAUAUAUAUAUUUUUUUUUUAAUCUGAAAACAUAAAUACAAGAACUAAAAAUGGAGUUAAUUCAUAAACCAUGUGAUACGAAAAUCAAUACACACUACGGGUAAAUGAUUUAAGAUUGUAACGCUCCAAUGUGCAAUGGAUUGGUGCAUGGUUCAGUUUUGCUUCGAGAUAAUAACAUCCGGUUUUUAAAAUUCCAUGUAGUUUCGGAAUUAGUCAGAACUACAGUCUACAGUGCUCAUAUAGUGAUAUGAAUCCGACAUUGUUUUGAAAUUUUGCGGAAUUUUGCGUGUAAAAUCAAUAUGAAGAAUGAGACUUUAGGCUACAUAAACGUGUUCUUUUGUUCUCAUUACAAGACAAGACAGCAAAAGAAACCGUUAUUAACGGAUUCAACGCUUCCUUAAUGGAAUCGAGAAAAAAAAUAGUUUGGGGAUUUAUUUGUUGAUAGGAAAAGUUGAAGACUUUUUUCUUUGAAGAAAAUUCAAGCAUUUUUUCCAGACGGUGAAGAAUAAUCAACUGUUGAUUAGUUGUACAUUUAGCAUUUGGAUGUGAUGAAGGAAAACUAUAACGCGUUGGAAUUACUAAUUAAUGUGAUUUGAUCAAUCUAGGUUCUAUAAUUAGUUAAUUACCUUAAACAAAUCAGCCAGGGCACAAAAAUUUACAAAUGAAUAGAGGAAAAAGUAGAGGGGUCAAUUAACGUAAAACAUAAAACAUCAGGGGUUUAUAUGCAAAUUACUAAUAAAGAAAAAGAACCCUGGAGGAGAUUGGCGAGGGUUUUAGUAGCUUCUCGCAUUUUUGGCUCAAACUCCGCGUCAAACUUCAAAACCAACAGAUUCGGAUACUCCGAGGUCAUUAGAUCGAAUCCUCUUUGCGGAGAAGAUGCAAUCGAUUCGUAGCGGCACAAGGCUGCUCCAGAGGAACCGUUUCUCAAUCUCCAACACUCUUCGUUUCACUUCGUCUUCUCCCGCAAGCUUGUCCGAGAAUGAAUCGAGGAGGCUAGGAGGAGGGUUUGAUUCAUUCCGUUCCACCAGAGCUUUCGAUUCGCCAGCGACGUAUCUCAUCAGCUCGUUGACAAAGGCUGUUUCUUUCUCUUCCGCACUACCUGUAAGCAAGCCACUUCUCUCAUUUCAGCUAAUCAUGGUGUAUUGAUAUUGUUAUCGGUUUGUAGAAAUGUGGAGGAUGAUUAGUUGGCAAUAGAGAUCUAAUUACCAAAUGGGUUGUGUAAAAGGAAGAAACUUUGCUCAGAUUUCGUCUUCCUUCCACAUUUGAAUUUAGCUCAGAGUGUUUGUGUGUGGGUACUUUUGAUCUUUAGCUCAAAAUUGAAUGCUUCAUUGUCCUAAGCAUCAUCAAUUUUUGUUUAUUUCCUUAAGUUAUUUGCUGAGCCUAUCUCGUUUGGUAGUUAAAGGUUACAGUUUCGUGCUGUUGUUUUUUCAAAGUUUUAUGCUUUCACAAAUUGUUCUGCUUUAUAGCUUUCCUGGAUGUUUGGGUCACAGACUCUAGGACAGUGCAUUUAGUUUAGGCUUCUUUGUGUUUGAGACCUUCUCUGACUUUUAAUGGGGGUUGGGAAAAUGUUUGGCAGAAACAAAACUUUACGUAUUCGUCGAGGUGCUUUUCCACCGUUGGAGAUUCUGCUCAGUCUGCUCCUCAAGGAUUCCCUGGGUCAGCUCCUGAUGCGCCUCCAAGAAUCAAGUUCAAGCGGCUUGAUAAAACCGCCAAGCAUAUAAUGCAGGUACAACUCCUACUUUGACGAUUGGUUGUGGAUUAAUACAUCACUGUCACGUUUACAAAAGUCACAAUCUUGUGCAGAUUGUAGACAAGGAGGCAGUUGAGGAAGUGAGAACUCGUAGAGAGAUACCGGAGAUAAGGCCCGGUUACAUUGUGCAGCUCAAAGUGGUAACUACUUUUGAACUCGUACCAGAUUGUCUUUUCUUUUUCUUCGAGAAUGAGAUCAAAAUAUCGUAUAACUUGGGAAGAUUAAUACUUUCAUAGGCUUCAUUGCAUUUAACUUUGUUUGAAACAGGAAGUGCCUGAGAACAAGAGGCGUGUUUCAAUCGUAAAAGGCAUUGUCAUAGCAAGGCGUAAUGCUGGUCUUAACUCUACGUUUAGGAUUAGAAGGCUCGUGGCUGGAGUGGGAGUCGAAUCCAUGUUCCCCUUGUAAGUAUUUUAACCUCUUGACCUCUCUCCUAAAGGCAAAGAUGAAUGUACAUUUUUAGAGCCUCAUAUAGCAUGCGCAAAAGGCUCAUUUGUAUUAGGAAAAGCUAGUGAUAUGUGAGUGUGGGUGUUUGUUGAUGACAGGUAUUCUCCAAACCUGAGGGAGAUUAAGGUGUUGGACAAGAAGAGAGUAAGAAGAGCGAAACUUUAUUACCUCAGAGACAAGAUGAACGCUCUCAAGAAGCAUUAGCUCCCGUAAUCAUCAUUCAGAAAAGAGUACUCUACGCUCAUAAACAAAAUCUUGAGUGUUUUUCUUUUAUGACGACUCUGCUUUGAGUCAACAUAUUGGACUAUGUAAUGUUAUUGAAUAAUGAUGGAACCCUUCAGGCUAUUUUUUUUUCUACAUGUUCCAAUAAAUUGAGCUUCAUUAUGAGUAAUCUAUAUCCAUCUUCAAAAGAAGGUGACAAAGUUCAUUAUGCUCUUAACUGUCAAAGCAACAAAGUUAGGCUCAAAAAGCUGUUGUGUGGUUGGAGAUAAACUGCGAUUGUAUCCCAAAUGAAUCAACAACCGCACUUUACAAGCACAAACGUAGAUAUUUGCGUUUGAAACAACUCAAGGGAAUAGUAAGGUAUCUGGUAGUGUACUAAUAUAUCUAUUUCUUCUUAUUUUUGCUUCUGUCAUUCUUCUUCUUCUCGUUGUUCUUGUGCUUGUCAUUCUCAUUCCUCCCUUGUGUCUCCUUGUCAUUCUCACUCUUAUUCUUACUCUUCCCCGGAAGCUCCAUCGGAGCAGGAUCCGUCUCUGAACCUGAAACAACCAACAAGAUGAAGAAUAAGACUUGUGAAAAAGAAAGAUAUACAAUACGCCUAAGAACAAGAAAGUGAACGACCUUUCAAGUAAAUGGAGUUGUAAUGUACCCCAACCAAAUGGCUCAAGUAAACAACUCUCUCGAGUGUCAAAGACUUAGGAACAAUCUCCAUGGAAGGUACUUCUUUCUCUGACGUAAUGACUACUAUCUUCACCCCAAACUGCAUAAUCGCGAAUACUUGUUCAUUAAGCUAAAACAAGCGAAAGAAUAAAAGAAAUCAAAGUAAAGAGAUUAUUAUAAAGAAGUUAACCGUAUCAGCAGCAGCCUGCAACGUAACGUUAUCACCCCACACGCCGUUCUUGGACAUGUUCUUGACAUACUCGGAGUAGUCCUUGGGAAGAUCGUUUGCUCUUUUUUUACUCGAGUCCAUCUCAACAAACUCUCUAUAAAUUUUUGGACAAGUUUUAAGCUGAAAUAAUUCAUAUAACAACAUGAGAGUCAGUCCAUGUUAACAAAUCAUAUAACCUCAUGAGAGUCAUAUACCUGUUUAACUAUUCUUUCUCGAACUUUCUCAUGAUACUCGGGGCACCUGAAGAGCUGAUCAGCUAAAGAGCUAAACUGUAACAUAAUAAUUAACAAACACUAAUGAUGUGAUAAAGGAGGGGGUUUAGAAAACAUUAAUUAAUUAGUAUUAUUACCUGGCAGUUUCCAUCACUUUUAAUCUUCGUCUCGAUGAAACCUUCCCACUCUAACCUAAAAAAUCCGGAAGAGUAAUCAGUUAAAACACUGAUGAUUAAACAAGAUUUGAAAAGAAUAAUCCAUCGUUAGUUCGUUUACCUUGACUCGAGUCUUUUCUUGUGCUCGUUAGACAUUGCUUACGUCUUUUCUCGGCGACGAUCGGUUACUGAUUGGGUGAUGGUUAACAAUAUACUGUGUCGCUUGAGCGGCCGAUUGGUAUUUAUAGAUUUUCUAUAUUAUGAGAAAAAGAUGGGCUUUUUCAAUUUUGUAUGGUUAGGGUUGUUAUGGGCCUACCGUUAACGGCCCAAUUAAUCAGAAGAAUCUUUAGGCCCACUGGCUCGUCUAUGCAUAAAUAAAUUACACACACAUGCGAAUAAUUUAACAAGAGUCGGAAGAAUCUUAGCUGAUAAACUGAUAGAUAUAACAAAAAGAACUCUCAGACAACAUAAUCUUAUGUUUAUUCAAGUUUUCCACAAAAAACUUAGAAGUGUACUUGGUAUCUCCAUCACAAGAAACAUUGCAUUGAAACGUCCACGUUUUAUUGGACCCAAGCCUUUGGUAACAAUCGGCUGAAAGCGAAAACUCGCUUUGGCAUUGGUAAGGAGGGUUUUUGAUCACUUGUUCCACCAGUGCAAGAAAUCCUUGCGCCUGUUGAUUUUCUUCUGAAGCUGGAGGAGUCCAUAGAGCAAUGCCUCAGCGGUUGGAGGGCAUCCAGGGACGUAGAUGUCCACUGGGACAAUUCUGUCGCACCCUCGAACCACUGAGUAGGAGUAGUGGUAGUAUCCACCUCCGUUGGCGCAGCUUCCCAUUGAAAUCACCCACCUUGGCUCCGGCAUCUGGUCAUAAACCCUGUCUCAUUGUUUCCAGAUAUUAGAAACAAGGAACUUCUUUCAAACAUGAUACACAAGAACAGCAGCUUUAAAAAACAUCCACAUAGACUACGCCAAUUCUGCCAGAUCCAAGACUGAUUUGAAUAGAGCGUUAUGAACAUAUCUCUAAAUACCAGUUCGAUCACUGAUAGGUUACUCAACAUGAUGACUGAUCUAGUGAAAAUGCAUAUAAUUUUGCUCGUCUAAGUGGUAGAUGUUUUGAGGUUGACUUGGGACAUUUUCUAAUGAACCUUUAAAUUAUCAGAGAUGAUCCACAUAUACACUUCCCUCAAUACUACCAGACAAAAAAGGCAAUUCGAAGAGACGAGUUCAGAACCUAUCUCUAAACACUGAUAGUUUCUUCAGCACAAGAACUAACAUAUACCAAUUCAUAAAAAGCAGUCAAAUAAUCUCUCAGAUGCAACUAAUAUUUGCUCGGCUCAGUGGUUGAAAUCGCCACAAUGUAAUAGCCACAAGGUGGUUACUUGUGGCUAUUACAUUGACUUGCGAUAUUUUCUAUAUCUACAUGUUUGGGCAUAAAGACAUCAUUGAGCUCAGCUUCCUAAACAAAAACCUUACGCAUACAAUUUUUAAGAAACAUGAUUCUCGGCAAAAAAAAAACAAAGAUAUGCAGUUGAAUGAAGGGUUCAUAACAUCAAACAAGAGAGAUAGGAAUCGAAUCAAGUCCCUCAUGUGUCAAUUUUCCAUUAACAAUACAACUCGUAAUAAAAUGGACAUCAGGUCUCAAAGACAACCAAGCAAAAUCAUCAAACAAGCACGAUUUUAAACAGUCAGCAAAAAAGGAACAACAAAACCUAAUUACAAUGAUGGCUGAGACGACACUAACACAUUUUUCCCAAAGCUAGAGAAUAUGAAACCCUUAUCUCCCCACCACAAAAGACGAGCACAGAGGUUACACUGAUAUAGCUACUCUUCAUCUCUGUAUACUAGAUUUCACCUAAGUUAAUGAAUUUCAAACCAAAAUUUCUCAAGAACUCUGCGCUAGACAAUGAAUAUGAACGAUAUGGCUUCCCAGGUCAGUCAUAUAUUCAUACAGAAACUCUCAAUUUGACAGGGACCAAGCAACACAAUCAGAAUAUAUGAAACCUACAUCGCCGGGAAAGAGAUAACUCCAACAAUCACAAUCAUAAUCUCCUGAAAACGUAAUUCUACUCUCAGUGAUAUCCGAGAUCCAUAGGAAAGGGAGAGAGAGAGAAGUAGAGAGGCGUACUUGCGAAGAGCAGGAGCCAUCUUGUUAGUAAGCGUCCCGGCGACAAUCAUACAAUCCGAUUGACGAGGACUAGGCCUAAAGAUGAUACCGAAUCGAUCCAGAUCGUAGCGAGCAGCACCGGUAUGCAUCAUUUCCACGGCGCAGCACGCGAGGCCGAAGGUCAUGGGCCAGAUCGAUCCCCUGCGAGCCCAGUUCAUGAGGUCAUCGACCUUCGAGAUCACGAACUCCGCCGUCUUCGAGAGACCCGGCGGAGGAGGGGAGGGGUAGGGNNNNNNNNNNNNNNNNNNNNNNNNNNNNNNNNNNNNNNNNNNNNNNNNNNNNNNNNNNNNNNNNNNNNNNNNNNNNNNNNNNNNNNNNNNNNNNNNNNNNNNNNNNNNNNNNNNNNNNNNNNNNNNNNNNNNNNNNNNNNNNNNNNNNNNNNNNNNNNNNNNNNNNNNNNNNNNNNNNNNNNNNNNNNNNNNNNNNNNNNNNNNNNNNNNNNNNNNNNNNNNNNNNNNNNNNNNNNNNNNNNNNNNNNNNNNNNNNNNNNNNNNNNNNNNNNNNNNNNNNNNNNNNNNNNNNNNNNNNNNNNNNNNNNNNNNNNNNNNNNNNNNNNNNNNNNNNNNNNNNNNNNNNNNNNNNNNNNNNNNNNNNNNNNNNNNNNNNNNNNNNNNNNNNNNNNNNNNNNNNNNNNNNNNNNNNNNNNNNNNNNNNNNNNNNNNNNNNNNNNNNNNNNNNNNNNNNNNNNNNNNNNNNNNNNNNNNNNNNNNNNNNNNNNNNNNNNNNNNNNNNNNNNNNNNNNNNNNNNNNNNNNNNNNNNNNNNNNNNNNNNNNNNNNNNNNNNNNNNNNNNNNNNNNNNNNNNNNNNNNNNNNNNNNNNNNNNNNNNNNNNNNNNNNNNNNNNNNNNNNNNNNNNNNNNNNNNNNNNNNNNNNNNNNNNNNNNNNNNNNNNNNNNNNNNNNNNNNNNNNNNNNNNNNNNNNNNNNNNNNNNNNNNNNNNNNNNNNNNNNNNNNNNNNNNNNNNNNNNNNNNNNNNNNNNNNNNNNNNNNNNNNNNNNNNNNNNNNNNNNNNNNNNNNNNNNNNNNNNNNNNNNNNNNNNNNNNNNNNNNNNNNNNNNNNNNNNNNNNNNNNNNNNNNNNNNNNNNNNNNNNNNNNNNNNNNNNNNNNNNNNNNNNNNNNNNNNNNNNNNNNNNNNNNNNNNNNNNNNNNNNNNNNNNNNNNNNNNNNNNNNNNNNNNNNNNNNNNNNNNNNNNNNNNNNNNNNNNNNGAAAUUUAACAUUCGGGCCGCAGCGACACAGAUUAGUCCCUUGGGCCUGGGAAGCCUUUGGGGAAACUGUGUAUAAUUCAAAAAAAAAAAAAAAGAGAAUCCACCAACUUAUCGAAAGCUAAUGAAGAAAGUAGUUUUUGUCUUUCUUCAAAACGAUGUUCACCACACACAAAAAGGAAGGAUAAAUGUUCCAUCUAUACAACUAAUCUUUAGCAUUUUAUUCAAAAGGUAGACAAAUCAAAACGUAUACAUUUUAAAUGCGGUUUUACUUUGAACAAAAAUGGUAAUUGCGGAAGAUUCGUUAUUAACAUCCUAAUCACAAAAAUAGAAAAUCAACAUUGCUUGGAGAAAUUAAGGACCGCCUAUUCUUCUAGACAUAUCUUCUACGUAAUUAAAAUGCUCUUUAGCACUAAACCGUGUUACAAUGUGAUUCCCACUCUCUCCAAACAAAUACAAGUCUGCACAUCUCGCCCGUUUCUUUCACGGUACCGCGUGACUUUGAAAAAAAAAAUGGACAGCGCAUCAUUAUUUUCACGCGCCAAACCAUCACAUUUCUCACCGACCGUUGUGCCUUUUAUCAAGGCUGAAGAGUUAGAUGCACGCGCCUCGGUGAGCGUUUAAAACACGGCACAUAUGUUAAAAACGGCGCCGUAACAGAGAGACGAUGACCUGUCGAAAUCUCAGUAAAAGAAUAUGGACCGUUGAUUGUCAUGAUUCGCGGGACCCGCAGGUGGACCAGCUGUAAUUGCAAGGAUUUCUAAUGCUGGAAAGUCCGGUUACCUAAACCCAGCUAAACCGGAUAUGCUCAACCUCUUUAUAAACGCCUCACCACAUUGCUAAUUUCACCAAAAAACCUUCAGAGCUUUAAAACAUUUCGAAUCAACAAAAACCCUAGCCUCCUCCUUUUCUUGCUCUCUCUCUCUCUACAAAUCUCUGAAAUGGCGAUCUCAAAGGCCUCCGUUGUUGCUCUCGUCGCGGUGAUCGUCUCCGUCGUUGCUACCGUCGCUUCAGCUCAGUCUGAGUCUCCGGCGCCAAGCCCCACUUCUGGAUCUGGUGCCUUCUCGCCGUCCAUCGUGUCAGGAGGCGUUGCAGCCGUCGCGGCUCUUGUGUUCGGCUCUGCUCUUCGGAUCUAAGUCUUUGUGAUGGCGAUUCGUACAGAGAUAUUGUUUUGAAAAUUUUUAUAGCAUUAUUGAUGAUAUUGGUGUGUAUUCUUGAGCUAUAGAUCUCUUUCUAUUGUGUCUUUGUUACCACUUUGCGAUAUUGUUUUUGAUUAUGAUAUGAUUCUAUUCUAUUUAUGGAUGUUUCUCAGAUGUUUCUUCGCCUUCUUCGCUUAAAUCGUUAUACGAGCUUGUUUUACAAAUCACAUGAUCGAAACUUUGCUAGAAAUUUGAUUAUAAUCUGAAGAUAAUUGUGAUUGUUACUUGGAUUAAUUUGAACUGAGUUAUAUUUUGGUCGAA